rnacentral:lncRNA from 1 species
CGUGUGAAUGUUUUUACAGAAUUUUGUGACACAAGCUCACAUGAAUAAUCAAUUCCUGUCAUUAUUAUUUUAUAAUUUUGAUAUGUGGAACAUGAAUAUAUGCCUGAGCCUAAAGGACAUUCCCUGGACUCUUUAUUCCAUCAACAUUAGUGCCUGGAACUCACUUCCAUAUGCAGCCUCUCCUCCUGUGUAGCUAACAAUGUCACCUCCAUGGGUAUCUCAGUGAGUAGGUAAACAACCAAAUCUAAAUGCUAUCUUAGCCUUUGAUGAGUCACAGACCCCUUGCAGUGUGUCAUUUGGGGUGGGGGGCAUGUCCUACGAAAAAUCUCAAAUGGUAUUUUAUUAGUUCAUUACCUUUAACCAGGCCAGGUAUGGGGGCAAGGGGGCUUGAUGAAGGGUUGUUGGGCCAAGCCAGGCCAGGGUUGGGCUCUUGUGGGGGCUAAUGCCCCUCAGUGGUGGAGGGGGACCAGGUCUUUGUCCCAGUGGAGGGGAUUACACCGGCGGGGCGGCCCUAACAAUGUCUCCCCUCCUGGGAGGGCUGGGCAAACCUGCUCCCCCCAAUGACGGGUGUGGUCAACUGCUCACUGACUCAGUUAAACACAGUGAGAGAGAGGAGGAGAAGAGAGGGAUAGGAGGAGGAGAUGAAUGGAGGGGAGAGAGAAGAAUGAGCAGCAUGGAGUGAUACUCAACAAGGGUAACAGGGUAACAGAGAAGGAGAAAGUGGAGAGGAGAGGAUGGAGGUUGGAGAAGAAGAGGGUGGAGGUUGGAGGAGGAGAGGGUGGAGGUUGGAGGAGGAGAGGAUGGAGGUUGGAGGGGGAACGAGUUAAGGUUGGAGGAGGAGAGGAUGGGGUAGGAGGAGGAGAGGAUGGAGGUUGGAGGAGGAGAGGAUGGAGGUUGGAGGAGGAGAGGAUUAAGGUAGGAGGAGGAGAGGAUGGAGGUAGGAGGGAGAGCGAGUUAAGGUUGGAGGAGGAGAGGAUGGAGGUUGGAGGAGGAGAGGAUGGAAGUUGGAGGAGGAGAGGAUGGAGGUUGGAGGGAGAGCGAGUUAAGGUUGGAGGAGGAAAGGAUGGAGGUUGGAGGAGGAGAGGAUGGAAGUUGGAGGAGGAGAGGGUGGAGGUUGGAGGAGGAGAGGAUGGAGGUUGGAGGAGGAGAGGAUGGAGGUUGGAGGUUGGAGGAGGAGAGGAUGGAGGUUGGAGGAGGAGAGGAUGGAGGUUGGAGGAGGAGAGGAUGGAGGUUGGAGGAGGAGAGGAUGGAGGUUGGAGGAGGAGAGGAUGGAGGUUGGAGGGAGAGCGAGUUAAGGUUGGAGGAGGAGAGGAUGGCGGUAGGAGGAGGAGAGGAUGGAGGUUGGAGGAGGAGAGGAUGGAGGUAGGAGGAGGAGAGGAUGGAGGUUGGAGGAGGAGAGGAUGGAGGUAGGAGGAGGAGAGGAUGGAGGUUCGAGGAGGAGAGGAUGGAAGUAGGAGGAGGAGAGGAUGGAGAUAGGAGGAGGAGAGGAUGGAGGUAGGAGGGGGAGAGGGUGGAGGUUGGAGGAGGAGAGGAUGGAAGUAGGAGGAGGAGAGGAUGGAGGUAGGAGGAGGAGAGGAUGGAGGUAGGAGGAGGAGAGGGUGGAGGUAGGAGGGGGAGAGGGUGGAGGUUGGAGGAGGAGAGUAUUAAGGUAGGAGGAGGAGAGGAUGGAGGUAGGAGGAAGAGAGGGUGAAAGGAUCAGGUGUGGUAGGAGGAGGAGAGGGUGAAAGGAUCAGGUGU